GGGGUGCUCGAGUGGCGAACGGGUGAGUAACACGUGAGUAACCUGCCCUUGACUUUGGGAUAACUUCAGGAAACUGGGGCUAAUACCGGAUAGGAGCUCCUGCUGCAUGGUGGGGGUUGGAAAGUUUCGGCGGUUGGGGAUGGACUCGCGGCUUAUCAGCUUGUUGGUGGGGUAGUGGCUUACCAAGGCUUUGACGGGUAGCCGGCCUGAGAGGGUGACCGGCCACAUUGGGACAGAGAUACGGCCCAG
rnacentral:rRNA from 1 species